UAUAAAUACCGCCGCGCUCCUGAAUUCGGUCUCUUAUUUUACAAUGGGGCGGUGGAAGCGUGUUAUCACAACAAAGGAAAAUGACAGCGAGAGCUGGCCAUUAGAAGGUGGCUGAAUAGGAUUGUAUUUACUUCAGUUUAUGAAUCCACGACUUCUGUAACUGCAGUUCCAAUGAAUCUCAGGGACUCUGUGGUCACCAUAUCUCUGUGGAACAAGGUGUUGAAGGGUCCAGUGAUGUCGUCCUGUGAAGCAAAGGUGUUUGAGGAGCUUUCAAAUGGCAACGGGUCCUGUGGAGUGUUACAAUACGUUUUCAUAAUGCAGGAAUCAACCAACAUCACACAUUGAAAUGAGCUGUGGAAGCUUUUUCUGUAUACAAUAGUAUAAUGUAUAUGCAUUUUGUAUUAAACCUUUACAACCAAAGACCGUACUCUUGCAAGGGGAACAAUGUGAACUGAAUUAUGGAACCAUAGAUUCGUCUUAAGUUAAAUCCCACUUCUUGUACAUGAGUCAAGUCAUUCAUUCAAGUGCAAGUUUCCCUCAAGUUUGAAAUGAGUACUCUCUAUGAAACUGAAAUGUAGUAUGACUGUAUGUAUCCAUGUGACCGACCUAAACAAUGUAAUGCCAUUCUAAAAUGUGCAAGUAAAAAUGUAACUUUCACUUGGUUUUUUUAUUUCUGUGAGUGGACCAAUCUAAAACAAUUGUAUUUUGAUUAAUGUUUUUUUUGGGCCCAUUUUUGUGUCUGUAGCCUGAGUUGUCAUCAACUUAAAUUUGUGUAUGAUUCAGUGGUGCCUCACUGAAAGCAAUGAAUGGAAGACCAAUGCAAAUUUUGCUUCUCCAUUUGAUCAUACAACAACAGAAUGUCACUUUCUUUCUCCCAACUUAACAAAUGAAGAAAAAAAAAAUUUAGUAGUUUACAACAGUCAGAAGAAAGUAAACUGAGAAUCACUAAUCGUGAUCAUGAGGUUACCCCAAGUGACUUUACCCUUCUUAGCAACCAGGCCAAUUGGGUUGCUUAGGAGACCUGGCUGGAGGUAGUUGGUGGUAGUUAGCAUUGAUACUCUCUGAGCUACCAAGGCCUCCUAUUUGCAUAUAUUUAAUGUAUGAAGAGUGCUGAAAAGACAUUAAAUCGCUUAUUCACUCUUCUGAUAAAGUUGUCUACUAGAUGUUGGUACUCUCCAAAUAUUCAGAUGGCAGAGAAGAAACUUUGUACGUUUGGUCUCCAAAUUUUAAUAUUUGGAAACAUUUAUCCAAUUUAACCCAAAGGUGUUCAGUGGUGUUCAGGUCUGGGCUUUGUGCAGGCUAGUAAAGUUCUUUCACUCCAGGCUCCGUAAAUAAUUUCUUGAUGGACCUCGCUUUAUGGACAGUCAUUGUCAUACAGGAGCAUGGCCCCAUUCUCUUGAAAAUGUCUUUUUAGACUGCAAGCAAAUAUGCUACAUUUUAUGCCACUGUUAUGUGAUGGGUGUAGCUCAAAUAGACAAAUCUUAAGAGAAUGUCCCUUAAGUAGUGUGUAAUAAUGAACAAUCACAUUUGAUUUAAUUUUAAAUAUCAAAGCAGUUAUUUAUCACUAAAUGUAGGCUAAUUAAUUUCGUUUUAAAUUUCAAGACAUUUUUUA